GCAUCGGUAGCUCAGUGGCAGUGCGUUGGGGCGUUAACCCAAGCGGCCCGGGUUCGAGCCCUGGUUGAUGCA